rfam:Pelobacter acetylenicus strain DSM 3247 genome.
UAAGCGCUCAUUUCGACCUCUGCCUCUGGCGGACUCAACGAAACCCGC